rnacentral:misc_RNA from 1 species
GAUGAAGAACGUAGCGAAAUGCGAUAAGUAGUGUGAAUUGCAGAAUUCAGUGAAUCAUCGAAUCUUUGAACGCACAUUGCGCCCCUUGGUAUUCCAUGGGGCAUGCCUGUUCGAGCGUCAUUUGUACCUUCAAGCUCUGCUUGGUGUUGGGUGUUUGUCUCGCCUCUGCGUGUAGACUCGCCUCAAAACAAUUGGCAGCCGGCGUAUUGAUUUCGGAGCGCAGUACAUCUCGCGCUUUGCACUCAUAACGACGACGUCCAAAAGUACAUUUUUACACUCUUGACCUCGGAUCAGGUAGGGAUACCCGCUGAACUUAAGCAUAUCAAUAAGCGGAGAA